UUACGGCCAUACCAUGUUGAAACACCGGUUCUCGUACUAUCGUCGAAGUUAAGCAAAGUCGAGUCUGGUCAGUACCAAGAUGAGUGACCUCUGCGGAAUAACAGGUACUGGAA